CCUGAGAAACCCGAAAGAUCGAAUGGGGAGAUUCACCGUCAGCGACGUCGGCUUCGCGGUGGUUCGCGAUGCGCGGCGCCCUUAACCGGGCGACGUCGCACGCGGCCGCCGUGUUCAUGUCCGGCGGCGUCGGCGUGCACUUCUCCCCUAGUAGGACGUCGCGACCCGUUGGGUGUCGGUCUACGGCCCGGGUCGUCGCCUGUCCCGUCGCUUCGGCGUUGCGGGGCAGACACCCGGUAACCCGGCCGGCUGCCCGGCGGUACUCGCACGGUAUCUGGCCGCAAUCUUUCGAACUGCGUCUCAGGCCCGCCGCAAGCGCGGUCAGUGUAUACCCGGAGGUUACGGACCCAGUGCCGUCCCCGGGCCUGGCCCGUUGUUCGCCGGCGGUGUCCUCUGACAGGCCACGCGUUUUUCGUUGAUACCGGUCGGCGACGCUACUGCUUUGGGUACUUUCAGG
rnacentral:rRNA from 1 species